rnacentral:rRNA from 1 species
UACGUAGGGUGCAAGCGUUGUCCGGAAUUAUUGGGCGUAAAGGGCGCGUAGGCGGUGUCGCAAGUCCGCGGUGAAAUCUCUAGGCUCAACUUAGAGACUGCCGCGGAAACUGCGGUGCUUGAGUGUGGGAGAGGUGCGUGGAAUUCCCGGUGUAGCGGUGAAAUGCGUAGAUAUCGGGAGGAAUACCGGUGGCGAAGGCGGCAUCCUGGACCGACAUUGACGCUGAGGAGCGAAAGCUAGGGGAGCAAACGGG